AGAGUGAACGCUGGCGGCAGGCCUAACACAUGCAAGUCGAGCGGCAGCGCGGGGGCAACCCUGGCGGCGAGCGGCGGACGGGUGAGGAAUGCAUCGGAAUCUACCUUGUUGUGGGGGAUAACGUAGGGAAACUUACGCUAAUACCGCAUACGACCUACGGGUGAAAGAGGGGGACCUUCGGGCCUCUCGCGAUAAGAUGAGCCGAUGCCGGAUUAGCUAGUUGGAGGGGUAAAGGCCCACCAAGGCGACGAUCCGUAGCUGGUCUGAGAGGAUGAUCAGCCACACUGGAACUGAGACACGGUCCAGACUCCUACGGGAGGCAGCAGUGGGGAAUAUUGGACAAUGGGCGCAAGCCUGAUCCAGCCAUGCCGCGUGUGUGAAGAAGGCCUUGGGUUGUAAAGCACUUUUGUUGGGGAAGAAACCGACCGGGUUAAUACUUCGGUUGAAUGACGGUACCAAAGAAUAAGCACCGGCUAACUUCGUGCCAGCAGCCGCGGU
rnacentral:rRNA from 1 species